GCAGUAUUUCGGCACUGUCGCUGGUGCUUUUUAGCACGAGAGGAAAGUCCGGGCAGCACAGAGCAUCUUGCUUCCGAAAGUGAAAGCUAUUGGCAACAGUAGAUGAAGGUAGAAGAAAAUAACCGCCUUGCUUGCAAGGUAAGGGUGAGAAGGUAGUGUAAAAGACUACCAGUGCGUUGGCGACAACGUAGCUGUACCGUUCAAGAGCUGCAAGUUCAUGUAAACCGUUGUUUGAGGGUUGCUCGCCCAAGCAAUAUGCACAGCGGAGGGUAGAACGCUAAAACAUAGAGGCGACUCUAUGGUUAGAUAAAUGACAGGCGUCCUUAUGCUCGAAAGAAAAUAAGGAAACAAAACCCGGCUUAUAGAGAUACUGCUUUU
rfam:Prevotella disiens FB035-09AN ctg1125417240317, whole genome shotgun sequence.